GAAUGUGAGGGCGACCUGGCUGCGACAUCUGUCACUCCAUUGAUCGCCAGGGUUGAUUCGGCUGGUCUGGCUGGCUAGGCGGGUGUCCCCUCCUCCCUCACCGCUCCAUGUGUGUCCCUCCCUAAGCUGCAAGCUCAGUAGAAGAGGAUGACCUUCACCGAUAGGGUAAGAUCAUUCUUCGGUCAAGGGUUCUUUGGUCAAGGGUAUACAAGUAGCUGCGCUCCCUUGCUAGAACCUCCAAACAAGCUCUCAAGAUAUAGGUAUGUUAUAUAUAAACAUUCUCUAGCAAUUUAUGAAAUCAGGGGAAAAGUUUAAUCAACCCUAUGGCUUCUU
rfam:Felis catus isolate Cinnamon breed Abyssinian chromosome C2, whole genome shotgun sequence.